rnacentral:sRNA from 1 species
AUCACGAUCUCGCUUGUCGCCUCUGCUGCUGUGUUCCAAAUGUCUCUCUGGCAAAGGCGUCAUAACAAUGAAUCUUUCAUCUGUGGAAGUCUUUUUUAAAUUUAACGGAAUUAAAGAAGAUGGGAUAGGGAUUGCCAGUUUCAUACAAUCUAAGUUUGGGAAAUGGAAAGCGAGGACGUAUAUCGUUCCCAUCGUUUACACAUGUAAGCAGUUACUAGUGGCGAGCGUGGGCUGGACGGAGCCGGCUGACAACAGUUCUACAACAUGUUCUGGGGGCUGAUUUGUCUGCGAGGACACAAAAAAGAUACGUGUUUAGUUAUUCGUGUCGCCUGUGCAUAUUGCUGGUUCAUUUCUGACGUCUGAUUAGUUAUGUAUAGCGUGUAUAUGUAAAUUUCGGACUUUUGCAGACAUCAGAUACUACUAGCAGAAACAGCGGUCCACCACGACAUAACCGUUGACUUGCCUUCGUUUGCCAACCACUUAUUUUCUGGCUUUUUUUCUCUUCAAUGAUUCAGCUUUUGCCUAGGCCUUCCGCAAUCACUGGUUCUAACGGACAACGUUACAAAGACAACUAACAGAAAUGAUGACUACGCAGCGCCUAAAGAAUGAAAAAAAAAGAGUCGAGGCUCAAUCCAGAUAAUUUCGUUCAGCGUUGUUUGUUUAUCGGCAGUAUUGACGCGUUUAUGCGUUGCAUGAAGUUUGGAAGGAGAGCUAUAUUUACCUACUCGUACGCGACAAUAGCAAAUCGGAUCCGGCAUAUACAAUCUACCCUUUCGGUCGCGUCUUAAUGGUUUGUAAAGCAGUUUCGAACCUAUGCAAGUGUAUUCUCGAAGCGUGGCUUUUGGCUUGCACGCAAUACAAGGAAAGGGCCGGGCAGAGCGGUUAUUUGGCCAUGUUGUUCGAGGCCAUCGCCAAAAGCCAGCUUUUUUGUUCAGCGCUGAGCUCAUUGUUGUGUUCCAUAAGGGGUCCUUACCUAUGCAAUGUCCAUGGACAGGGCAAGGAAUGCUAUAAUCCGGCACUAAAACUGGUGUAUGCCCCCACUUGGCUUUAAAAGUACUUUGCUGUAUCAAGAACAAGGACAUCGAUAUGGCAAGGUGGUACGGAAAAUCUUUCUGGCUUUUGUUAGAGCUGCCUGCAUACUAAUAGUGAUGAGGCCGCGUUCCAUGCUGAUUAAAUUGGUCGCCCGGUUUUCAUUGAUGAAUGGACGUCAUGCACACAGAUACAGUUAGCGGAAUGCUGUGACAGGACAGUGCAUCUCUGCAACAGAUACAGGCUUUUCGGCCUUCCAUGCCAUCUCGUCAUAUGCUGUCGUUAGGACACAGAGUAAUGGGGAGCAGAUGGAAACCAACAGUGGAUGAUGACAAUGGAUGGAAGUCCAUACCUUCGACAUGUUAUACCAAGAUUACAUGUGCAUGCACAUCUGCUAUAACCCUAC